rnacentral:tRNA from 1 species
CUGGUAGCUCAGUCGGUAGAGCAGCGGACUUUUAAUCCGUUGGUCGCGAGUUCGAAUCUCGCCCAGC